rnacentral:sRNA from 1 species
GUGACUUGUCUUCGGUCGAAGUGAGCUUCAAAUCACAGCCCAUGGUCUAUCUUAUGAUAUAGAUUCCUUAUGCUAAUCAACGAGUGUAAUUCUGUUCUGUAUGACCUGUAAGUAGAUCUAGCAGGAACCUCUCUUCAUAUUUAGUUCACAUCAUCCGUUAACAAUUAUAAUCGGUAUUCGCAAAUAUUACUAUGGGCAUUGCUUAGCGCGCCCAGAGUAUCAACUCAGCCACAAAGUGUUCCUCGCUGAACUGUAGAAUUGUGCACUCACUAUACAUUAUUUCCGAGUAAUUGAAUUGUCAAGUCACAUAUUUCCGACAGCAAACGGUCGUCGAGGUUUGAACCCCAGUCUACAGAGUAGAUGUCCGAGCUACCCUCCUGCCCACGACGCCUCGUUGAUGAGGUGGAUUAGUCUGUUAUUGGAAUAACUGGAUUACUUUCGUGUGUGUAUGUGGUUAUCUCAUCGGUCAGCAAAUAGCGCUGUUUUCUUCAUCAUCGUCAUGUCGUUUUCUGGACGGAUUUUCACUUGGAUUUUAUUUACCUUCUUGACGGCAGGCUAAAACAACAACAACAACAACAACAACCUCA